GAUAGAGAUGGGUGUGCGUAAGAUUAGCUAGUUGGUAAGGUAACGGCUUACCAAGGCGACGAUCUUUAGCUGAUGUGAGAGCAUGAUCAGCCACACGGGCACUGAGACACGGGCCCGACUCCUACGGGAGGCAGCAGUGAGGAAUAUUGGUCAAUGGACGAAAGUCUGAACCAGCCAUGCCGCGUGAAGGAUGAAGGCGUCUGCGUUGUAAACUUCUUUUAUCUAAGAAGCGGUAUCAGAUGAAUAAGCACCGGCUAACUCCGUGCCAGCAGCCGCGGUAAUACGGAGGGUGCAAGCGUUAUCCGGAUUUACUGGGUUUAAAGGGUGUGUAGGCGGACUUUUAAGUCAGGGGUGAAAUCUCCGAGCUCAACUCGGAAACUGCCUUUGAUACUAUUAGUCUUGAAUUAUGUUGAGGUUGGCGGAAUAUAACAUGUAGCGGUGAAAUGCAUAGAUAUGUUAUAGAACACCGAUUGCGAAGGCAGCUGGCUAAACAUAUAUUGACGCUGAGGCACGAAAGCGUGGGUAGCGAACAGGAUUAGAUACCCUGGUAGUCCACGCCCUAAACGAUGAUUACUCGUCAUUAGCUAGUGACCAAGCGAAAGCGUUAAGUAAUCCACCUGGGAAGUACGACCGCAAGGUUGAAACUCAAA
rnacentral:rRNA from 1 species